rnacentral:tRNA from 1 species
GGGUGUUUAGCUCAGAGGUAGAGCGCCUGCCUUACAAGCAGAUGGUCAUAGGUUCAAAUCCUAUAUCGCUCA